rnacentral:piRNA from 1 species
UAGGCGUGAGAUGGAUUCCCAUCUUUCCU